rnacentral:tRNA from 1 species
UAACUUUGUCAAAGUUAAUUUAUAGGUUUAACUCCUAUAUGUCUUAC